rnacentral:lncRNA from 1 species
UCCAUCGGAAUUUUGUUCGUGGGUGAUUCGCGGGUUUGAUCAGGCCGGGUAUUUUGCAGUUCUGAUCGGGGGAAUUUUUACUGAUCAAAUGUGUCAUCCGUAGCGUAGUCUGACCAGCUUUCUUUAUUUUGGGGGCCGGAGGAGGAAGUCUGUCUUGGUUAGCGUCUGAGCAAGACAGAAGGUAGAAGUUUUUGCUGUAAAUACUACUCCCUCCGUUCGGAAUUACUUGUCGCAGAAAUGGAUGUAUCUAGACGUAUUUUAGUUCUAGAUACAUUCAUUUUCGCGACAAGUAAUUCCGAACGGAGGGAGUACUACCACUCAUCCUCUGGCUAUCUUCUUACUGAUGGUUACAGUAGCUGUUUGUAGUUGGGACGUGCCAAAUGGAAAGUACAUCUUCGGGCAUUACUUGUUGCGCCAACAAAAGUGCUUUUCUUGUGAAAUUUCAUAACAGUCACUAGUACACAUA